AGCAGCCGCGGUAAUUCCAGCUCCAAUAGCGUAUAUUAAAGUUGUUGCAGUUAAAAAGCUCGUAGUUGAAUUUCGGGAUUAGUGCGCUGGUCAUGCCUUUGGUAUGUACUGGUGUUACUGAUUUCUACCUUCUGAAGAACCGUUAUGUCAUUCAUUUGGUGUGGCGGGGAAUCAGGACUGUUACUUUGAAAAAUUAGAGUGUUUAAAGCAGGCUCGCGCUUGAAUACAUUAGCAUGGAAUAAUGAAAUAGGACGUUUGACCCUAUUUUGUUGGUUUCUAGGAUCGACGUAAUGAUUAAUAGGGAUAGUUGGGGGCAUUAGUAUUCAAUUGUCAGAGGUGAAAUUCUUGGAUUUAUUGAAGACUAACUACUGCGAAGCAUUUGCCAAGGAUGUUUUCAUUAAUCAAGAACGAAAGUUAGGGGAUCGAAGACGAUCAGAUACCGUCGUAGUCUUAACCAUAAACUAAUGCCGACUAGGGAUC
rnacentral:rRNA from 1 species